GGCAAAGGUAGAAAGCCCCGGAGGGCCCUGGCAAUGGCAGAUAGGUCCGUUGGAGAUGGCCAAAAGGUCAAGCAACCCCGUCCUGCGGGGGAUCGUCCAUUAAUGGACCAUCUACCAUCUGAGUCACGGCACCAGAAAUGUCAGAAAUGUCUGCACGGGUGGCUGUCCCCUGCUCCCUCUGGCUUGCCCUGCCCUCUUGCAUCCAGGAGACCCUGAGGACCCCCCCGCACCCCAGGCAGGCCCACCACGGACAGCCAGUUUGGCCUUGCGGUCAGACGUGGGUGGCUGCGCCCUGCUUCCUCCGGCUUGCCCCAGACCACUGUACUUGGUAAGUUGGAGGGACCAUCACCUCCCAUUUGAACCUGCACUAUUUUCAGAGGAAAGACAGCUGGAAACUGU
rnacentral:lncRNA from 1 species